GGAGUCGGCCAGACAACCGCUGCCGCCUUUGUUGCGGGAGAGGAAAGUCCGGGCUCCGCAGGGCAGAGUGCCAGGUAACGCCUGGGCGCCGUGAGGCGACGGAAAGUGCAACAGAGAGCAGUCCGCCGAUGGCCGCGCUUGCGCGGAUCAGGCAAGGGUGAAACGGUGCGGUAAGAGCGCACCGCGAGUCUGGCAACAGACCGGCACGGCAAACCCCACUCGGAGCAAGACCAAAUAGGGAAGGUGCGUUGGCGCAAGCCGGCGCGACACGCGGCCCGCGUGCCUUCCGGGUAGGUUGCUGGAGCGUUGCGGCGACGCAGCGCCUAGAGGAAUGGUUGUCGCAAGUGUGCAAACACUUGGCACAGAACCCGGCUUACAGGCCGACUCCCCCA
rnacentral:RNase_P_RNA from 1 species